rnacentral:rRNA from 1 species
AACGUAGGUGGCAAGCGUUAUCCGGAUUUACUGGGCGUAAAGGGUGUGCAGGCGGGAGGUCAAGUGGUGCAUGAAAGCUCUCGGCUUAACCGGGAAAUGGUGUGCCAGACUGACCACCUAGAGAAUGGGAGAGGGACGUGGAAUUCCGGGUGUAGUGGUAAAAUGCGUAGAGAUCCGGAGGAACACCAGAGGCGAAGGCGGCGUCCUGGCCCAUUUCUGACGCUCAUACACGACAGCAUGGGGAGCGAAC